rnacentral:rRNA from 1 species
AGCGAACGCUGGCGGCAGGCCUAAAACAUGCAAGUCGAACGCCGUAGCAAUACGGAGUGGCAGACGGGUGAGUAACACGUGGGAACAUACCCUUUGGUUCGGAACAACACAGGGAAACUUGUGCUAAUACCGGGAUAAGCCCUUACGGGGAAAGAUUUAUCGCCGAAGGAUUGGCCCGCGUCUGAUUAGCUAGUUGGUGGGGUAACGCCCACAAGGCUACGAUCAGUAGCUGGUCUGAGAGGANGAUCAGCCACACUGGGACUGAGACACGGCCCAGACUCCUACGGGAGGCAGCAGUUAGGAAUCUUGGACAAUGGGCGCAAGCCUGAUCCAGCCAUGCCGCGUGAGUGAUGAAGGCCUUAGGGUUGUAAAGCUC